AUCAUUUACCUUACGAUCAAAAGCUCACAAAAUUGAUAAUUUUUAACGGCUGGUAUGGGAUACUUGCUAGUUUAACAGUGCAAAAGAAUCCGAAUAGGUUGAAUUUUUGAUAGAAAAUUCUAUUCACUACCUAGAUAAAGAUCAAUAACUCUGAUCUUAAAUUGAAGGAUCCAAUCAUCCAUUUUAGGACGUCGUUCGAUUUUGACUGUUUAUUUUAUGCCCGCUUGAUGGAAUUUAUUAUGAUUUCGAAAAGUUACAAAAUUUAUUUUCUAAAAGUUUCAAAUACUCUAGAUCAUAUUUAACGGAGUGGAUCGUCGAUUCGGAAGCUCAAUCAUCGAAAACAACUUAUGAGUACGAAGGGCCCAAUACUUAUAAUAGUAUAGUAGCCCUACUCUCUCUCUCUCUCUCUCUCUAUAUAUAUAUAUAUAGAGUAGGGCUACUAUACUCUUAUGAGUAUAGAACCCUUACUACUCAUAAGUUGUUUUCGAUGUUGGAGUUUUUCGAAUCGACGAUCCACACCGUUAAAUAUGAUCUAGAGUAUUUGAAACUUCUAGAAAUCAAAUUUCAUAAUUUUUCGACAUCAUUUACCAUACGAUCAAAAGCUCACAAAAUUGAUAAUUUUUAAUAGCCGGUAUGGGAUACUUGCUAGUUUAACGGUAGAAAAGAAUCGGAAUAGGUUGAAUUUUUGAUAGAAAAUUCUAUUCACUACCUAGAUAAAGAUCAAUAACUCCGAUCUUAAAUUGAAGGAUCCGAUCAUCCAUUUUUAGGACGUGAUUCGAUUUUGACCGUUCAUUUUAUGUCCACUUGAUGGACUUUAUUAUGAUUUCGAAAAAUUACGAAAUUUAUUUUCUAGAAGUUUCAAAUACUCUAGAUCAUAUUUAACAGAGUGGAUCGUCAAUUCGGAAGCUCCAUCAUCGAAAACAACUUAUGAAUACUAAGGGCCCACUACUCAUAAGAGUAUAGUAGCCCUACUCUAUAUAUAUAUAUCACAACAUAUAACC
rnacentral:lncRNA from 1 species